rnacentral:rRNA from 1 species
AGAUUGAACGCUGGCGGAAUGCUUUACACAUGCAAGUCGAACGGCAGCACGGGGGUAACCCUGGUGGCGAGUGGCGAACGGGUGAGUAAUACAUCGGAACGUGCUCAGUCGUGGGGGAUAACGUAGCGAAAGCUACGCUAAUACCGCAUACGAACUCUGGUUGAAAGCGGGGGACUCGCAAGAGCCUCGCGCGAUUGGAGCGGCCGAUGGCAGAUUAGGUAGUUGGUGGGGUAAAGGCUCACCAAGCCUGCGAUCUGUAGCUGGUCUGAGAGGACGACCAGCCACACUGGGACUGAGACACGGCCCAGACCUCCGUACGGGAGCAGCGAGGUGGGGAAUUUUGGACAAGUGGGCGCAAGCCUGACUCCAGCCAUUCCGCGUGCGAGGA